GAUGAACGCUAGCUACAGGCUUAACACAUGCAAGUCGAGGGGAAACGAUAGAGAAAGCUUGCUUUUUCUAGGCGUCGACCGGCGCACGGGUGAGUAACGCGUAUCCAACCUGCCCAUCACUUGGGGAUAACCUUGCGAAAGUAAGACUAAUACCCAAUGACGUCUCUAGAAGACAUCUGAAGGAGAUUAAAGAUUUAUCGGUGAUGGAUGGGGAUGCGUCUGAUUAGCUUGUUGGCGGGGUAACGGCCCACCAAGGCGACGAUCAGUAGGGGUUCUGAGAGGAAGGUCCCCCACAUUGGAACUGAGACACGGUCCAAACUCCUACGGGAGGCAGCAGUGAGGAAUAUUGGUCAAUGGGCGAGAGUCUGAACCAGCCAAGUAGCGUGUAGGAUGACGGCCCUAUGGGUUGUAAACUGCUUUUAUAAGGGAAUAAAGUGAGCCACGUGUGGCUUUUUGCAUGUACCUUAUGAAUAAGGACCGGCUAAUUCCGUGCCAGCCGCCGCGGUAA
rnacentral:rRNA from 1 species